rnacentral:rRNA from 1 species
AGCGAACGCUGGCGGCAGGCCUAACACAUGCAAGUCGAACGAACUCUUCGGAGUUAGUGGCGGACGGGUGAGUAACACGUGGGAACGUGCCUUUAGGUUCGGAAUAACUCAGGGAAACUUGUGCUAAUACCGAAUGUGCCCUUCGGGGGAAAGAUUUAUCGCCUUUGGAGCGGCCCGCGUCUGAUUAGCUAGUUGGUGAGGUAAAGGCUCACCAAGGCGACGAUCAGUAGCUGGUCUGAGAGGAUGAUCAGCCACAUUGGGACUGAGACACGGCCCAAACUCCUACGGGAGGCAGCAGUGGGGAAUCUUGCGCAAUGGGCGAAAGCCUGACGCAGCCAUGCUGCGUGAAUGAUGAAGGUCUUAGGAUUGUAAAAUUCUUUCACCGGGGACGAUAAUGACGGUACCCGGAGAAGAAGCCCCGGCUAACUUCGUG